GCGGAAGUAGCUCAGCGGUAGAGUAUCGCCUUGCCAAGGCGAGGGUCGCGGGUUCAAAUCCCGUUUUCCGCUCCA
rnacentral:tRNA from 1 species